AGUGAAUAGAUACCCGGGUAGUCCCAGCUGUAAACGAUGCGCGUUAGGUGUAUCGGUGACCACGAGUCACCGAGGUGCCGAAAGAGAAAUCGUGAAACGCGCCGCCUGGGAAGUACGGUCGCAAGGCUGAAACUUAAAGGAAUUGGGCGGGGGAGCACCACAACGGGUGGAGCCUGCGGUUUAAUCGGACUCAACGCCGGGAAACUCACCAGAUAAGACAGCUGAAUGAUUGUCGGGCUGAAGACUCUACAUGACUAGCUGAGAGGAGGUGCAUGGCCGUCGUCAGUUCGUACUGUGAAGCAUCCUGUUAAGUCAGGCAACGAGCGAGACCCACGCCAACAGUUGCCAGCUCGUCCUCCGGGAUGGAGGGGACACUGUUGGGACCGCCUCUGCUAAAGAGGAGGAAGGAAUGGGCAACGGUAGGUCAGCAUGCCCCGAAUUAUCUGGGCUACACGCGGGCUACAAUGGGUGGGACAAUGGGUAUCGACACCGAAAGGUGAAGGCAAUCU
rnacentral:rRNA from 1 species